rnacentral:lncRNA from 1 species
AUGAUGUUGUUGGCCAUCCAGCAGAUGGGCACCAGCACGAAUAGACCACUGGUGAUGAAGAUCACACCCCCGGCGUUUACCACCCGGGCUUUGAUAUUCUCCGUGCGGAUGCAGUUGGUGCAUUGCGCCCCAGCUAUCACCACCAUAAGACCCAGCACUCCCAUCACAGAGGAGAUGACGGCAGCAGACGUAGUCUCACCCGUCGAAGCGCGCCCGUUACUUGUGCAUCACCCGCAGGAUGUGAGGCAGCAGUCCCUGGUCCCGCUUUCACUGAGAGUGGAUGCGAAAACAACUGGAAUCAAAGCAAUACAGCACGGUGGAUAACUGUGAGGUGGGGGGUGUGUGGACUCCUGGAGAAACUUUCCUCCAAUCCGCUACCGCUGCAUCCUCAUGGGACCAAUGGAAUUGCAGGGAAGUUGUGCGACUGAAUAAAGCGGUCCAGAGCGCAUUGUGCGUUUGAGCAGUUAUUUACAAUGUAGAGGGGUGAGGGCUUUUGUGUGGAGGAGGAGGAGUUGGGGGAUGUUUCAAGAUUAUUGAGCCGCUGUGAGAGUGGAUCGGGGCGCUUGUUAUUGAUUUUUCAGACAUGGGAGCUAAUGCUGGCUGUCUGGGCCAUACCUUGCCAUUUCACACCUUUUAUCAGAUGUAAAAAAGUUCUUGUAUGCUUGUUUUCAAACAAGACCAAAGAAAAUAAAUGUAAAUCAACUUUAAAUGCUUUAUAUUUAUACUCAAAAGACCAGAACAACACAAUCUUACAUUUAAAAAGGUGUUUUAGAGGCCCACGAUUCAAGAAAAAUGCAUGCAACGUCAAUUGUGCAGUAUGAUAGGUUAUUUAUAGUGGAUUUGGAAAAAUGAUUAUUAUAAAAUAACUGGAUACAAAAACAAUAUUUAGAAUUGAUAAUACCCAAAUUUAAAGCAAAAAGCCACUACUUUAAUGGACCUUAUCUGAAAAUACACCUAGGGAAUUAUUUUGAUGCACAGCAAAGGGAUUGUUUCUUUUUAAUUAAAGGAGGCUUGGUCUAAUUAUUGGAUGAGUUUGAUAGGUAAAUACCAAGCCAACCACCAAAGCUAAUUUUCAAUAAUUGGUGCAACUCUUUAAAAACUGUGUUACUUAUUGGUCUGAAAUCAGCAUAAUAGAUGUUGUUUCUGAACACAGAAAAUGUUUGCAACACAGUCAUAUCCAAACUUCAGACUGUAGUUACACUCAGACCGCAAACUGGAACACAAUUUCAUCAUAAAAAUGUAUUUUCCAAAAGAGACUUCAAAGUUGUUUAAUACUUUAGUUUUUUUAAAGAUGUUUCAAUUAAACAUUUUUAAGAUAUGUUUAUAACAAUUUCCUUUUAAAGAGAAUGACAAAAAAAAAAUCAGAAGAGAUGUUAGUCUCAAUAUGAAUAAUAGAACAAAUGGGAAACAUGUGGGGUCUGGACAGAUCCAAACUUACAUUUUUUACCAAAAGAAUAUCUUAAGAAAUCAGUCAAAAAUAACUACAGGAGGAUUUCAAACGCAACACAUUGUCACCAUGC